AGCUUUUCUGUGUCAGUACCUGCAAAAAUUGGCAUAUUAGACUUUACUAGUUAGGUGCUCGUAUGUUGCUACAUUUUCCAUUAAUGCUUAAGUAUAAUAUAUAAAACACAAAUAUAUGUGUGUUUCGUUGGCUAGGUUGAUUCGUUGAUGUAAUGUGGGUUUGAAGGCAACAACCAUGGUUUGAAUCCCAUUUGUGCAUAAUUUUAGUUCUUUUCCCAUUAAAUGUGGACAAGUAAUCCGUCCAUAUCCGAUCCGAUUACACCCCUAGGGAGGAGGUAUCGGACUACAGAUAGUGUUGCGGCCCGGCUCGGCAGACAUGACCCAUUUGAUAGUACCGGACCGGUCCUAGAGCCGUGUCGUGCCUAAGACGCCUUCUGGGCCCACAGUGCCGGCCCGACCCGGCACGAUUAUAAUUUUUAGAUUAUAAUUUUUAUUUUCAAAGUAUAACUAUAUGUUUAUAAUUUCGAUCUUUUAUGUGAUAAAAACAAACAUGAGCUCUAUUGGUUCGAUGGUGGGGGCUUUGUUUCGAACCCAAGCGACCACAAUUCAAUUACUUCGUGCAGCUCGAGGGAUGACCCACGACGAAACUCACGCUUUAAAGGUGUGGUGAUAUUAUCUGAAUGUUGGAUAUCUAUUUGAAGGAAAACUUUUCACUGAGUAAAAAGCCCGAUGUGGCAAUGUUGUUGUAAGUUAAUUUUAUUUUCCAUCACUUUGCAAAAAAAAUAUGAAUUGAUUUCAUAGUGGUACAUCACGUUGUUUGGAGUGCAACAAACUUACCAGGAUUCUAUUCUGUCUAGAUGAAACAGUUUAAGGUAGUGAAGAAGGGUGUGAUACUAAUUUGUAGUGGUUUGAUCAGAUAUGUAGUACAGAAGGGCGGGCCUGGUGCAGCGGUAGAGCCUACCGUCUGUAACCGGAAGGUCCCGGGUUCGAGCCCCAGCCUCUGCAUAUUAUGCGGGUAAGGCUUGGCGCUUAAAGAUACCCUUCCCCAGACCCCGCACAGUGCGGGAAGCCUAUGGCACUGGGUACGCCCUUCUUGAUCAGAUGUGUAGUAGCUGUUUAUUGCAUUGAUCUCUUCAUUUUGUUGUAAAAAGUUGCACUUUUGGAAGCAUAGUGUAAUUAUGUGUCUGUAUAAUGUCAGAUUUCCAUAUGGUUUGUUUGCUUAUGGAAUGUCAUUUAGCUUUUUCAACAUAACGAAGGCAAUCCAUGUAUUCUGCAUACAAACUUGUUUAAGAAUAUAGUAAGCUUCCUUCAUAGGUAUGCUCGUACCUUUAGGCUAGAUGAUAGACAUAAACCUAAUUGAAUCAGUGCUAUUAAUUAACAACAGAUUACUUCAGAAUGCACGUAGGUUUCAUGUUGUUGCUUGUGGCUUGCCAGUGACAAUAUCUCAUAUAUUUUUUUAGUGGUAACCAUGUGCUGCUGACAUAUUCUUUUUGCUAGAACUCUUUGGCUGCAUAAAAAAUGUCUAUACUGUAUUCAAACACAAAGACAAAGGAUCUAUGGAGUUGCCUUGAAGAGGGGUCCAGUGAACCAGUUAGAAUACUAAUGCAUCUAUGGAUAAAAUAGAAUACUAAUGCACGGUCACUACUCUUACAAUAAGGGUUGAACCCGAAAAUUGAAGACUUCGAUCAAAGUUGUUUACGAGGUUUGUUUUCCAAAUUUUGUUGUAAUUUAUUAUAUUUUUGGUCAUGAAAUCGCAGCCUCCAUAUUCAUGGGCAUGUGCUUGCUCAGAAAAAUAGUGAGUUGUGAGCGAUUUUUUCUUCAUGGUUGCGUGAUUCAAAAACGACGGUUGCGUCUGUCGAACGAAGAACGUUGCGGCAAUUAAGCAUGGUCACUACUCUACAAUGUCAGAACAGGCAAAGGUUGUUGAAAGAUCAAAAUAACCAGUAACCGGGUCAAGAAUUUUAGAGACAGAUACCCCUUUAUUUAAGAUCGUAUGCUUCCCCUUUUGUUAUGAACAUGGUGUUUUUAUGUCUUAUCAGGUAGAUCAGUAACUAAGUUUGUAGAAGCUUGCAAGAAGGCAACAGGAGCUUCCAUCAAGGGUGAAUAUCACAGAGAGAACGCCCUCCCUACCUGUCCCUUGAUUAGUUUCAUAUAUAUAGGUCCUCUUUUUGUUGUUGACAUUUUAAUAUAAUUUGAUGCAUGCUGAGGCGCUAUAUAAUAACACAAACGAAGUUUUGUUGUAGACAAGGUAGAUCAAUCUCGUGUAUCAACCUUCGUGAUGUGGCGUCACUUGUACUACUGUGAAAGGUUGAUUGUGUUUUGCUACCUCUUGCAUAAAUGCUAAUGGUUCUGUUCCUGUUGUGCAGGGAUUCAGGAAGGUGAAUCCAGAUCGUUGGGAGUUUGGAAACGAGUUAUUCCUAGCAAGCCAGAAGCAUUUGCUAAGAAGCAUCAAGAGGAGGUUGAUGCUUGUGCCCAUCCCUUCUUUGAUUAGCUACUGGACCCCAAGGUUUGGUUGUCAAGUGGGCCCCAAGGCACAGAUCGUGGUGCACCCCAGGGAGCAUGGAGGGUGAAGGGGAUAAUUCAGGUGAGAACACGGUUAGUUAGCCAUCUCAAUUUAUUGCUUUGGUGCGCCUGUGAUAGAAUUUGGGGCGAAAUAUUCUGCUAACUUUGUUUUCUUAAGAUUGUUCUAAGCUUUUGAUGGUCUGUAACAGCAACUUCUACUCGUGAGAUGUUCCUUUUUGUUACAAGCUAACUUUAUAUGUCUUACCUAACUUACGUAUUUCUACACAUUGUUUGAUGAACUUUUGUAUCC